UACAGAGGGGGCAAGCGUUGUUCGGAAUUACUGGGCGUAAAGGGCGCGUAGGCGGCCUUCUAAGUCGAACGUGAAAUCCCCGGGCUCAACCCGGGAACUGCGUCCGAUACUGGAAGGCUUGAAUCCGGGAGAGGGAUGUGGAAUUCCAGGUGUAGCGGUGAAAUGCGUAGAUAUCUGGAGGAACACCGGUGGCGAAGGCGACAUCCUGGACCGACACUGACGCUGAGGCGCGAAAGCUAGGGGAGCAAACGGG
rnacentral:rRNA from 1 species